rnacentral:misc_RNA from 1 species
AUUAUUUUUCACACUGUAAGAAAUUUCAGCCCCCCUUGCCUCUGCAAAGCCACAAUCUUCGCUAUCAUGACCAUAUUAGAGGACCAUAAAGUCUAAAAUGUCGAAAAAGAAAAUAAGUCUGACUAAAUUAAAGACUGUCGCUGAAAAAGGUGGCGAGAAGAAACCCAAACAGAUCACAAUUUCAAAGUUCUUCUCGGCUCCCAAGUCGCCAGUCGUUGCGCAACAGGAGAGCGGGGAUGCUUCUGUUGUUGUCGUCGUUGACGAUGAAUCACUAAAGAAACAAGACACAGCGUGUACAAAAGGAGGAAAGAAAAGAUUAAAAGAAAAUGGCCAAGUAACACAUGAAAGCAAAAGAAAAUGUGUCCGCUCCAGUGAUAACCAACCCUCUACCUCAAAUGACCUACCUAUCUCAUCCAAGGAAGAAUUCAGUAUGCAGGAUAAACACACCAGAUUGUCAGCCUUCACUCAAACCAAACUAGACAGGUUUCAGUCAGAUGAGGUCGUAGACUCUACAGAGAUCAGAGAUAUAACAUCCUAUGUCCCAAGGCAAUCUAUAGUUAACAUUAGUAUUGACAAUGAUCUGAAUGAAGUCGGUAAAAAUGCUGUUAUUCCUGUAAGUGACGAUGAAGACGAACCUAUUACCUCAGAACCUGGUUUCGGUUUAAAGAAGUUUGCUGCCACUCAGAGCAAACACAGUGGAAAGACCUCUGUCAAUAAAAGAACCAAGACCAAAUACACUCCCCUAGAGCAGCAGUAUAUAGAACUAAAGGAGAAGUACCCAGACACACUGCUGUUUGUGGAAUGUGGAUACAAGUACAGGUUCUUUGGGGAAGAUGCUGAGAAUGCUGCACAUGUAUUAAAGAUCUACUGCCACCAGGACCACAACUUCAUGACGGCCAGCAUCCCUGUCCAUCGCCUGUUUGUCCAUGUCAGGAGACUGGUAGCUGCGGGAUAUAAGGUGGGGGUAGUGAAGCAGAUGGAGACAGCAGCCCUAAAGGCCUGUGGGGACAACAAAAGUGGGCCGUUCACCCGACAACUAACAGCCAUGUACACCAAGUCUACCUUGUUUGGUCAAGAUGUGGACCCAGUUAAUUUCUCUGAGGAACUUCAAGGGGAGAUAAAUGUGGAGGAGAGCUGUAGCAGCGAGUACCUGAUGUGUGUGUACGAUGUUCCUUGUGACCGGGACAUCAAGCACCAAACUAUAGGUAUCCUUGCUGUGCAGCCAUCGACAGGGGACGUAAUCUAUGACAGCUUUGAAGACUCGGAUCUCCGGAGUCAGCUGGAGACAAGAAUCCUCCACAUUCAGCCUGUGGAACUCCUUAGCAGUAAGACACUCUCUGAUGCCACCCAGAAACUGUUGUCAGACAUUGCAACAAUGAGAUCGACUGACGAUGAUGGAUUGCGACAAGAGUUUUGUGAUGAUGAGGUGUUUGAAUUUAGAUCAGCAUUUACGAGAGUGUCUGACUUCUACAAGAAGCAUGGGAAAGACCCCUCAGUGCUACAGCUAGUGAUCAAUCUUCCCUAUGCUGUCAUUAGCUGUCUAUCUGCUGUGCUGAAUUAUUUAGAAGAUUUUGGCCUUCAGAAGGCUUUACAGGACACAAGUAACUUCAGCCAGUUUUCUGAAAAGUCCAAGUAUCUUUAUCUGCCUGGGAACACGGUGAGAAAUUUGGAACUCUUCUCUAACCAGAACGAUGGCAAAGGGAAGAACUCUGUCUAUUGGCUGAUGAAUCAGACCGUGACAAAGUAUGGAAGCAGGAAACUCAAGUCCUGGCUAGCCUGCCCCUUAAAGGACAACAAAGAAAUUCUUCAGAGGCAGGAAGCAGUGAAUACAAUACUAGACAAUUUCAACUGUAGUGUUUUAACCAAACUAAGGAGUGUCCUUGGAAAAUCUCCAGACUUAGAGAGGUGACUUUGCUCAAUUUACCAUGAAAAGUGUAGUGUUCAAGAAUUGUAUGUAGUCUGCAGGUCCCUAUCAGCAGCUCUAUGUGAAGUCGAGGCCAUGAAGAAAUGGUUGACGGAGAAUUCCUGCUCAUUGUUGCUCAGUUUAUUCAAUGAGAUUCCAGAUCUACUCUCAGAUGUCAAGCAAUUUAAGGAAGCACUCAAUGAAGCUGCUGUCAAAGCUAAUGAUAAGACCAAUAUUUUCACUAAUGAGGACGAUUUCCCAGACAUUAGAAAGAGGAAGAAUCAGAUUGAGACUGUCAGGAGAGAAAUCGUUGAUCAUCGACGGGAAGUUAGAAUCGCGCUUCGUCAGCCGUCUUUGGAUUAUGUCACAGUAAUGGGAGUAGAGUAUCUUAUAGAAGUGAAGAAUGCCCACAUGAACCUGGUUCCCAAAGACUGGUUCAAAAUUAACAGCACAAAGGCUGUGGGCAGAUUUCACUCGCCGUUCAUUCAGGAGAAAGUGAAGGAACUGAGCCAGUUACAGGAACAGCUGGUGCUAGACUCCCAGGCAGCAUGGCUGUCAUUUUUACAACAGUUUAAUGAUGGAUUUAGGAGAUUUAAAAAAGCAGUAGAUCAUCUGGCUUCCUUUGAUUGCUUGUUUUCCCUGGCUUCUGUGGCUAAGGGUCAAGGCUUCUGCAGGCCACAACUGGUUGCUGAUGAUAUGUGUAUCGAGAUCAAACAAGGUAGACACCCUGUGAUUCAGCACCUGAUUGGAGAGGGGGGUCAGUACGUGGCCAAUGACACAGAUUUACAGGGUUCUACAGAGAGAGUAAUGAUAAUCACAGGCCCCAACAUGGGUGGUAAAAGUUCCUACAUCAAACAAGUGGCCAUCAUCUGUAUCUUGGCUCAGAUAGGAUCCUACGUACCAGCCGAUUCUGCUAGAUUAGGCAUCCUGGAUGCUGUAUUUACAAGGAUGGGGGCGGCUGAUGAGAUUUUCAGUGGGCGUAGCACCUUCAUGGUGGAACUUCAGGAGACGUCAGACAUUUUAUCUCAAGCCACCUCCCGUUCCCUGGUCAUUCUGGAUGAACUGGGCAGGGGAACCAGUACGCAUGAUGGUGUGGCCAUCGCAUACGCCACUCUGGACUACUUUAUAUCAAAGAUUCAGAGUCUAACAUUAUUUGUUACACAUUAUCCUAUUUUGGCUGAGUAUGAAAAGCUUUACCCAACUAAUGUCGGAAACUUUCACAUGGGAUUCAUUGUCAAUGAAACUGAUACAUCAGCUAGUGAUGACCGGAAGCAGACCAUUACUUUCUUGUACCAACUGGUCCAAGGAAUGGCAGCUCGGAGUUAUGGAUUAAAUGUAGCCAGGCUUGCUGGUAUACAUCAUGACAUCAUUCAGGGAGCAGAGCUGUUGUCAUCACAGUUAGAAGAGAGGAUUCAGAAGAGAAGAUUUCAGUUAGAGGCCUUCCAGAAACUGAUGUCAACAACACGUGACCAGGAAUUGAUUGAAUAUACCAAGACAUUCAUUAAAUCUUAUGACGCAGCUGAUAGAAAUUAUCAAUGUUAGACUGAAUAAUGACACUGUGGUUGUAUGGGUUUUUGCUGCCGAUAGAAAAUAAAAUUAAUAAUUUUUCAUAC